rnacentral:rRNA from 1 species
AACGAACGCUGGCGGCAGGCUUAACACAUGCAAGUCGAACGGGUGUAGCAAUACAUCAGUGGCAGACGGGUGGGUAACACGUGGGAACCUUCCUAGGGGUACGGAACAACUCAGGGAAACUUGAGCUAAUACCGUAUACGUCCGUGAGGAGAAAGAUUUAUCGCCCUUAGACGGGCCCGCGUCGGAUUAGCUAGUUGGUGGGGUAACGGCCUACCAAGGCGACGAUCCGUAGCUGAUCUUAGAGGAUGAUCAGCCACACUGGGACUGAGACACGGCCCAGACUCCUACGGGAGGCAGCAGUGGGGAAUCUUGGACAAUGGGCGCAAGCCUGAUCCAGCCAUGCCGCGUGAGUGAAGAAGGUCUUCGGAUUGUAAAGCUCUUUUGCCAGGGACGAUAAUGUCGGUACCUGGAGAAUAAGCCCCGGCAAACUUCGUGCCAGCCGCCGCGGUAA